UACGUAGGGUGCAGGCGUUUAAUCGGAAUUACUGGGCGUAAAGCGUGCGCAGGCGGUUUGCUAAGACAGGUGUGAAAUCCCCGGGCUUAACCUGGGAACUGCGCUUGUAACUGGCAAGCUGGAGUGUGGCAGGAGGGGGGUGGAAUUCCGACGUGUAGCAGUGAAAUGCGUAGAGAUGUGGAGGAACACCGAUGGCGAAGGCAGCCCCCUGGGCUAACACUGACGCUCAUGCACGAAAGCGUGGGGAGCAAACAGG
rnacentral:rRNA from 1 species